rnacentral:lncRNA from 1 species
CUCUGCAGGUUCUGAACAGUCUGGAGCAGUACUCACUGCUGCUCUCUCUGGUUCCUCUGGUCUGUACCUAUACAGAUGGACUCAAAUGAGGGACCAAACUAGCUUAUGAACAACACUAUGAAACUCCCCAAGAAUCCCCUUAAACUCACUCUAACAUCCAUGCAAAGCAUGCAAAGGAAAGCUGGACAGGACACUUUCGGCGGC